GAUUUUUUUAUUGUUUUCCAACCAAUAAGUCAUGUCCUUUUACAGACAUGGUCAUGGAUUUGUGUUUUUCACAGAUACUGUACAUUCAACUUCUGCUUUAGCAAACAGAUUGCAUUUACUCAGAUUUAUUACAGAAAUAUACAUGAAAAUGAUGAUUUCUUCAACUUUUGAGCCACAUCAAAGUCAUCGUCAUCAUCCAUCUGAGCCUGCCUGUGUGAAACUACUUGUUGUGGAAUGGGAGGUUGACCUAAGCAUGGCUAUGUGUGUUUUUAUCUAUAACAAAACACACUUCCUGUAAGGUCCUGAACUUCCUGUCAUGGUCCAGUGACUAUAUCAUAUUCCAGUGUUAUUGUUACUGGUAAAUGCAUAUGUGCUACAGGAAUUCACUCAUUCAUCUUCAAUACCC